CACGUAGUUAGCCGUGGCCUUCUGAUUAGGUACCGUCAAGAUGUGCACAGUUACUUACACAUUUGUUCUUCCCUAAUAACAGAGUUUUACGAGCCGAAACCCUUCAUCACUCACGCGGCGUUGCUCCGUCAGGCUUUCGCCCAUUGCGGAAGAUUCCCUACUGCUGCCUCCCGUAGGAGUCUGGACCGUGUCUCAGUUCCAGUGUGGCCGAUCACCCUCUCAGGUCGGCUACGUAUCGUCGCCUUGGUAAGCCGUUACCUUACCAACUAGCUAAUACGGCGCGGGUCCAUCUAUAAGUGAUAGCAAAACCAUCUUUCACUUUAGAACCAUGCGGUUCUAAAUGUUAUCCGGUAUUAGCUCCGGUUUCCCGAAGUUAUCCCAGUCUUAUAGGUAGGUUACCCACGUGUUACUCACCCGUCCGCCGCUAACUUCAAAGGAGCAAGCUCCUUAUCUGUUCGCUCGACUUGCAUGUAUUAGGCACGCCGCCAGCGUUCAUCCUGAGCCAGGAUCAAACUCU
rnacentral:rRNA from 1 species